CGGUUCUUGAAUCACCUGACGGCAGGUGAGCGUAUAGAGGCAUUGCGCUCACUUAUGGGGUAGUCCGACGAUUCGCCCCGCUACCGGAGGU
rfam:Streptomyces sp. CB02488 scaffold10, whole genome shotgun sequence.